CCUGAUCCCAUGCCGAACUCAGAAGUGAAACGCCGUAGCGCCGAUGGUAGUGUGGGGUCUCCCCAUGUGAGAGUAGGAAACUGCCAAGC
rnacentral:rRNA from 1 species